UCGCGCCGCCGCCGCAUCUGCUGUCUGAGCGCGGGAGCCUGGGCCACCGCAGUGCUGCCGCCGCGCGCCUCGCCCCGGCCGGACCCGCUACACAGCCCCCCGCGCAUUUCCAACCCGGAAAGUACUUCCCGUCGCCGCUGCCCAUGGCUUCUCAUACAGAAGAUCUAAAUUCCGUGGAAACCUCUUUCUGCCUUCUGCAUUCACCUCCUUUAGGCGGGACAACGAGGCGCUUUCUGCGGGAACAAAACGGCUGUGGCAGCGGGGGAGGGGGCCGGAGCAGCCGCGGCCUCGCGGAUUAGGGCGGUGCGCGCGGGGCGAGCGUUAAUAGGGACUGCUGGUGUAAGACGAGCAAAUCCUGUUUCUAUAUAAAGCCUUGAAGUGUCAGGGCGAGAAUGGGUUUGCCGGGGAUGCAUUUGCUUUAACAAGUGCCUCUGGUAUCCUGCUAAAGCCGGACAAAGCGUGGCCAGAGCGCUCGGCCUCGAAGCCCGUCCGAGGAAAGCAGAACCUGGGCACUGGAAAGCCUGGGUGGCGCCUGGCGCGCUAGGGAUUUCGGUGCAGGCGAGUGAGCCCUGGGUUUGUCCUAGGAGGAUAGUGCUGGCAUUUGCCGGGAAUCCGGUUGCUGGCCUCUCAGAUCCCUCACCCCAGAGGGUCUUUCCUGGCAGAGCAGGUCCAAGCCUCCAGAGCAGUCAUCUUCGGUGGCUUUGAUAUUAACGUUGAGGGAGGUCAGAAAAGGGGCAGCCACCGUUCCGCCUGACACCCGGAGGUCAUGGGGCCUGCAGCAAGAGUUUUUGGGAAGACCUGGGGCUGAGUACAGGGCCCCACUGGGUCACCCGCAAUUUGGCUUGCUUUUGUUUACAGUUUGUUCUAAACAUCAGAAAUGUUUGCCGCUUUAAAAAAAAAAAUUGGCAGUAACAGUUAUUAUUGCUAGCUUGAUGAACUGUGAAUACUAAUAAAAUUUUAUCUGCUUUAAUGGGA